GACGUAGGGGGCUAGCGUUGUCCGGAAUCAUUGGGCGUAAAGAGCGUGUAGGCGGCUCGGUAAGUCCGCUCUGAAAGCCCGGGGCUCAACCCCGGGAGGCGGGCGGAUACUGUCGAGCUAGAGUCCGGAAGAGGCGAGUGGAAUUCCUGGUGUAGCGGUGAAAUGCGCAGAUAUCAGGAGGAACACCAAUAGCGAAGGCAGCUCGCUGGGACGGUACUGACGCUGAGACGCGAAAGCGUGGGGAGCAAACAGG
rnacentral:rRNA from 1 species